GGGAAUUGUAUUCAAAGGUCGACAGAAGACAACGUGGAUAAGAGAAAAUUCCAUUGUCGAAGGCGAUAAUUGUCCCAGGAAAUGGAGCUGGAGAUGUAGAGCGGUGCAAUUUGUAUUGCUGUCCCAAAAAAAAACAUAAGUGACAGCCAGAGAGAGCAUAUGGCUGCCAUUCAUGCAGGAGGAGCUCGAAUGUGACGAGGAGACUGUCAUCAUUGGCCACAGCUCUGGGGCAGCUGCAGCAAUGAGGUAUGCAGAGACGCACAAAGUGUUUGGCCUCAUUCUGGUGGGUGCCUAUACUUCCGACCUGGGAGAUGAGAGAGAGAGUGGUGAGUUUACAGAUUUCUUACCAGUGUCACUUCCAAUUAACUGCAACAGCCAUUUUUCUAAUUGGAUUCCGGCAUUCAGAUUGGAUUAAACCUUAGAAUUGGGUAUUUCAAAACUGAAAAAUGUGAUUCUGAUCAUUUGGUGUGUA